rnacentral:rRNA from 1 species
UACAGAGACCUCAAGCGUUAUCCGGAAUCAUUGGGCGUAAAGCGUACCGAUAGGUGGCUUAAAAAGUCAGAAGUGAAAUCUCAAGGCUCAACUUUGAGACUGUCUUUUGAAACUUUUAAGCUUGAGGGGCAAAGAGGAAGCCGGAACGAGCGGUGUAGUAGUGAAAUGCGUUGAUAUCGCUCGGAACACCAAUAGCGUAGGCAGGCUUCUGGGUGCCACCUGACACUGCUAGGACGAAAGCGUGGGUAGCGAAUGGG